AUCCAGGAUGAGCAGGCGCUGGGUAGGUCAUGGUGGGUGGGUAGGUCACAGUGGGUAGGUCAGUCACAGUGGGCAGGUCAUAGUGGGUAGGUGGAUCACAGUGGGUAAGUCAUGGUAGGUGGGUCACAGUGGGUAGGUAGGUCACAGUGGGUAGGUGGAUCACAGCGGGUAGGCAGGCCAUAGUGGGUAGGUGGGUCACAGUGGGU